rnacentral:rRNA from 1 species
GACGAACGCUGGCGGCGUGCCUAAUACAUGCAAGUUGAGUGCUGAAGGUUGGUACUUGUACCAACUGGAUGAGCAGCGAACGGGUGAGUAACGCGUGGGGAAUCUGCCUUUGAGCGGGGGACAACAUUUGGAAACGAAUGCUAAUACCGCAUAAAAACUUUAAACACAAGUUUUAAGUUUGAAAGAUGCAAUUGCAUCACUCAAAGAUGAUCCCGCGUUGUAUUAGCUAGUUGGUGAGGUAAAGGCUCACCAAGGCGAUGAUACAUAGCCGACCUGAGAGGGUGAUCGGCCACAUUGGGACUGAGACACGGCCCAAACUCCUACGGGAGGCAGCAGUAGGGAAUCUUCGGCAAUGGACGAAAGUCUGACCGGGCAACGCCGCGUGAGUGAAGAAGGUUUUCGGAUCGUAAAACUCUGUUGGUAGAGAAGAACGUUGGUGAGAGUGGAAAGCUCAUCAAGUGACGGUAACUACCCAGAAAGGGACGGCUAACUACGUG